GGGGGCGACAGGUCUCGACUAAGAGGGAAGAAGCAGGGCUGCGUGCCGAGGUCCAGGAACCUCGUAAAACAUCCUGGAAGGCGAAUACACGCCGAACCUGCAUACGCCUACGCCGCCUAAGUAGCGCGGCGUCGUCUACCCGGUUUUGCCAGCGAGCCGGAGUGGGCGUGAGAAAGCUGGCUACCGCCUCCGACGCUGGCCCGGUGCCGGAGGGGGGAAUCUCCAAGGGCUGGCUCCUGUUGGAUCCCGCUCGGGGGAGCUGGCAGGGGCGAGGGUGAAUACCCGAGCUACGCACGUAGAGGCCUUGCCCUCAUCCUCUUAGGACGCGGGUUCGAUUCCCGCCGCCUCCACCA
rnacentral:tmRNA from 1 species